rnacentral:tRNA from 1 species
ACUUAAGUAGCUUAUAUAAAGUUUGACAUUGAAGCUGUUAAGAAGGUCUUUUGACCCUUAGGUA